rnacentral:pre_miRNA from 1 species
CUGUCCCCUUGAGUUCCCUUAAACGCUUCAUUGUUCAUACUUUGUGUUCUAGGAUCUAUCGACCGAUAAAUCAAUCUGAUGAACACUGAAGUGUUUGGGGGGACUCUAGGUGACAU